rnacentral:rRNA from 1 species
UACAGAGGGUGCGAGCGUUAAUCGGAAUUACUGGGCGUAAAGCGCACGUAGGUGGCGACGUAAGUCGGGUGUGAAAGCCCCGGGCUCAACCUGGGAAUUGCAUUCGAGACUGCAUUGCUGGAGUACGGAAGAGGAAGGCGGAAUUCCCGGUGUAGCGGUGAAAUGCGUAGAUAUCAGGAGGAAUACCGAUGGCGAAGGCAGGUCUCUGGGCUGAUACUGACGCUCAUGCACGAAAGCGUGGGGAGCAAACAGG